AUUGAACGCUGGCGGCAGGCCUAACACAUGCAAGUCGAGCGGAUGAGAGGAGCUUGCUCCUUGAUUCAGCGGCGGACGGGUGAGUAAUGCCUAGGAAUCUGCCUGGUAGUGGGGGACAACGUUUCGAAAGGAACGCUAAUACCACAUACGUCCUACGGGAGAAAGCAGGGGACCUUCGGGCCUUGCGCUAUCAGAUGAGCCUAGGUCGGAUUAGCUAGUUGGUGAGGUAAUGGCUCACCAAGGCGACGAUCCGUAACUGGUCUGAGAGGAUGAUCAGUCACACUGGAACUGAGAACCGGUCCAGACUCCUACGGGAGGCAGCAGUGGGGAAUAUUGGACAAUGGGCGAAAGCCUGAUCCAGCCAUGCCGCGUGUGUGGAGAAGGUCUUCGGAUUGUAAAGCACUUUAAGUUGGGAGGAAGGGCAGUAAGUUAAUACCUUGCUGUUUUGACGUUACCGACAGAAUAAGCACCGGCUAACUCUGUGCCAGCAGCCGCCGUAACAC
rnacentral:rRNA from 1 species